CCUACGGGUGGCAGCAGUGAGGAAUAUUGGUCAAUGGACGCAAGUCUGAACCAGCCAUGCCGCGUGCAGGAAGACGGCUCUAUGAGUUGUAAACUGCUUUUGUACGAGGGUAAACGCAGAUACGCGUAGCGGUCUGAAAGUAUCGUAAGAAUAAGGAUCGGCUAACUCCGUGCCAGCAGCCGCGGUAAUACGGAGGAUUCAAGCGUUAUCCGGAUUUAUUGGGUUGAAAGGGUGCGUAGGCGGAAUGCCAAGUCAGCGGUAAAAUCCCGGGGCUCACCCUCGCUCCGCCGUUGAAACUUGCGUUCUUGAGUGGGCGAGAUGUAUGCGGACUGCGUGGUGUAGCGGUGACAUGCUUAGAUAUCACGCAGACCUCCGAUUGCGAAGGCAGCAUACCGGCGCCCAACUGACGCUGACGCACGAACGCGUGGGUAUCGCACAGGAUUAGAUACCCCUGUAGUC
rnacentral:rRNA from 1 species